GUGAGUGCCAUGCCAGUGCCACCAGUGUGGGGUGGAGGAGACGCGCUCGGAGAAAGCAGUUGCUCGCACAGCCCGUUUGGCUGAUUGGCCAAGAAAGAAAGAGCUCCUCUCUUCGGGUGGCAUGGCGUCCUCCGGAGACAGAGGCGUGCUCCGCUCUGCUACAGACAGCCUAGGUGAUCAGAAGAGGAAAAUAAGUUUUCAUGCUUUUUCCAGCUCUCAGUUGGUUUCUCAACUUUGCACUAACUAAUUCAAAUGAAGAAAAUGUUCUCUCUGCACCUGCUAGCUAAACUAAAACCAAAAAGUUAAUCAUCAAGGAGAUGCCAUCCUGUGGAUACUGGUAGAGAGCAGAAUGACUAAAUAAAUCAAGACAACAUAUACAACACAACAGCAGCCUAAUCUUGGUAAUCCUGGGGCAUUAAAAGAAGAAAUUGCGAAGUUCUUCUAUGCUUAGCCUCUGUGGAAAUAUAAAUAAAAGGAAACUGAAUAUAUUGUCCACACUGUUCUGGAGAACAAAGUUGUGAUAUUUUACUUUGUAGCGAC
rnacentral:lncRNA from 1 species